rnacentral:tRNA from 1 species
AAGGGUAUAUCUCAAGUGGUAGAGUGCAUGCUUAGCAUGCAUGAGGUUCUGGGUUCAAUCUCCAGCACCUCCU